rnacentral:rRNA from 1 species
AGCGUAGGCGGACAUUUAAGUCAGGGGUGAAAUCCCGGGGCUCAACCUCGGAAUUGCCUUUGAUACUGGGUGUCUUGAGUAUGAGAGAGGUGUGUGGAACUCCGAGUGUAGAGGUGAAAUUCGUAGAUAUUCGGAAGAAUACCAGUGGCGAAGGCGACACACUGGCUCAUUACUGACGCUGAGGCUCGAAAGCGUGGGGAGCAAACA